rnacentral:misc_RNA from 1 species
UAAUUGUGAUUGUUGAAUUUUAAAUUUGGCGCGUGUCUUGACUAGUUUUCAAAAUGGCGUCGCUAGAAAGGGUGUGGCGCUGGUGUCGCGUACCCAUCCAUGUACUCCGAUUGGAGACUCCGUUCAGUAGCGCAGGAGCAAGUGUCGAGAGCAGUCGGUGGGUGUUGGGUUUCUCGUAACAUCUCGCCUCGUCGUCUUAAAAGACGAGUGGCUGGUACGCCAGGGAGAAUAUUUGUGUCGUGCUUCCGCGUAUACGUGCCCAAAAAAUGUAAUAUGGCGAUGGUCGCGUCGAAUAUGAGCGGCCACAUACAGAAGCAGCUCACCAGAAGUCUCGAGCGAAUAUUGGAGGAAGCACAUUUAAGCGGUGAGCUGAAGCUUAGCGGUCGAAAACUUAAGGAUUUUCCAAAAGUUGGAAAACCAGGCUCCAGCAAAUAUAAUCUUCAAGACACGGUGUUUGCCGAUCUGUCGAAGAACCGCUUCGCCGAAUUGCCGGAAGAGGUGACGGAAUUUCCGUUCCUCGAGAAGCUACAUCUCUACCACAAUGCCAUAAGAAUAAUACCGGAAACGGUGGCGAUGCUUCAGUCGCUCAACUACCUCGAUCUUAGUCGGAACCAAUUGACGUCUCUACCUCGAGAGAUAUGCAGGCUACCGUUGCAAACGUUGCUGGUCGCACACAAUAGAUUAGCAUCGUUACCGGACGAAUUGGGUAGAAUGUCGGCGCUGGCCGAGCUGGACGCAGGCUGCAACGAAAUCACGAACCUGCCACCUCGAAUGGGCGACCUUGCGAGACUCAGGUCCCUGGACCUGAGGAGCAACAUGCUCGUGCACCUGCCUAUAGAACUGACGUACCUGAGACUCGUGAAGCUGGAUAUCAGCGGCAACCGAAUAUCCGUGCUUCCGAACGAGAUGAGGAAGAUGAAGAGUCUGGUCGAUUUUCGACUCUCCGACAAUCCUCUGACCUCGCCACCUGCCUCGUUAUGCAUUCGCGGGCGAACGCACAUCUUUAAAUAUUUGGAGAGACAGGCGGCGAAACACGAGAGAGCGAGAGGAGGCCGCGCGAGAAAAACGCCUCUGGAUGUGAGAGGUCACGCGACGUUGGACACAAGGGCCCACAGACGGCACAACGUGGACAGCGGUUACAGCACCAGUGACGGGGUCGACAAACGUUGGUCCCAAGAAAUUCACAGCGCGGUGCACGACGGCGAGAUUCGAGGAUUGUGGCGUCAAGAAUGUUCGCCGCUUUCGAUUACUCUGCCUCACGAGACCAGCGUGAACGGAUCUUGUAGCGGAACGUCGACGCCUAGUACCAUCUCGCCAGGAGAACACGCGUCUCUCGAAGACGAGCUGGGCAAGGCCAUGAUUCUGCACGAUCAGUUGGAAAAGAGGAGACUGGAGAGGAGCACCUCGGAGAACGGCGGCGACGUCAGAAGAUCGAUGACCUCUGGUCUUUAUCACGCGUCAAUUACGCCACCCGGUCCUUUAGAAUCCGCUCAUCUGAAUCAAACGUCAUCGAUAUCGACGAACACGCAAUCGGUACAACCUAUACAAACGUCCACCGCAAACUCUACUUCUCUGUUGAACGGAGAUGAAAAGAGGCCGCUGAAUCACAUUCAAACUUAUAGAGAGUACAAAGAGGCAUUGAGACAACAGAGGGCCAACGAAGGGCCCAGCGUGUACAGGCCUCGGGAACAGGUAACACCGCCAGGCAACGAAUCGCAGAACAACGAGACGGACCCGUCUAGCAACAAGGAUGGUGUUGGUUUGACCGGCAAGCAAAUCUUCAACGAGGAGAACGCGAACAAGAGACCGGUGCAAAAGGUGACACCGUCGCGAAUCAACUAUCAGAACACGCCUAUCAUCAACGGUAGUAAUAACGAGUACAAUAACAAGAACGGAAAGUACAUGGAACAGCCGUACAAGAAGCCCAGUUCGCCCAUCAAAACUUCCACGAGCAUUUUAUCCUCGAGUACCAGCCCCGGACAUGCGCCUAGACUAGUCAAAACUGCAGUUGGUUACGUGGAAGGUAAUAAGAGUCCCAGUAAAAACGGCGGAAGUCCAAAGUCACCCAGAUCGGUUACGUGGAACAGCAACGUACCAGAAAAAUACUCUUUCACCAUGAGAAGAGAAUUCGAACGCGCCAAGGAGGAAGCUGAUUUAAUCGAACAGCUUCGAAAUCAUAUAGAAACAAGGCUGAAGAUGGCUUUACCAGAAGACCUCGCCCCCGCGUUAACCGACGGAGUCGUUUUAUGUCAUUUGGCGAACCACGUGAGACCUCGAUCGGUAGCCAGUAUUCACGUCCCUUCGCCAGCCGUGCCCAAGUUAACCAUGGCAAGAUGCAGGCGUAACGUCGACAAUUUUCUCGAGGCGUGUCGGAAGAUCGGCGUCGAUGAGAAUCUCGUGUGCUGUGCUAGCGACGUGCUGGAAGGAGGUCGAGGGGUAGUUCGAGUAGCGGUCACGGUUUCGGAACUGCUCAGGUUCCAUCAGUCACGAUCCCCGUUGCAGACUUCGUCCUCUUCGAACGUCCCGAACCACGUGCCUGCUUAGCGCCAGACAAUAUAAUUAUCAACGUACGCGUCGAUCGAAAGAUAAAGAAACGAACGUUGCCAUUUUUUCUUCGAUAAUCGUCGAAGAGAAAUGGAUUCGCGAGUAGCUUUCCUAUCUUAGGCCGCGAGUACACUCUCGUGCACGAAUACCUUCCCUUGAUUAAGCGAAAACAAUAGAGAGGGAAGCUGGGGGUCCUUAGUAUCCGGGCAAAUUCAACCGCGUUGAAAUGAAAACAGGAAUGUUAACUACCGACCCGACUCUUUCCUCUACAUUUCGCUUGAACCGAGGAAUCGCAUCGAUGCACGCGAUUAUACAUUGGCAAAUGAGCGCUAGAACAAUUGUGAUAUCAUUGUAAUGUUAUACAAUUAAUCUGUUAGAAGAUUACAUCUUGAACGCUGAUUCGACACGCAUUUCUGACAUACUAACUUUCGAACGAAGACGACCACGUUUGUUAGAGAAUACUUUUCCGAUCGUUUGCCAAUAUACUCGUGGCCUUCAGCGUUUUAACGUAUCGCGUACACCUUCGAUUAAUUUACCUUAUAAGCACGAACUCCGUUUCGAUCCAGAGAUCGUCUCGUGCACGAGUUAAUCGAAGAAGGGAUUCAAUUUUCUAUUUACUGUACGUGUUCGAGUAUUUCGAGGUGGUUAGAUCACGAAGACUCGAUUAGAUGUACCAAAACUUUUGUAUCGAAAGGACAACGUAUCUUUGUACGGAAUGAAAGAAUAGCGUAAAAUAAUUAGAGUAAAGUCGUAGUCGAGUUGAAGUAUAACUCGCGAAUCGAAAGGAGAAUGGCUACAUAGCGCGACGGUUAUAAAAAGUUAAUAAAUAUCGGGGACACUUUCUUGCGGCAAUGAAAAAAGUUCCUACUCGCGUAUAACCGCUGAAGUUUUUCGUUUGUUAAAUGUAAGGUAUACUUAGAAUUACGAGGUAGGAAUCAAAACGCCUGCAAAUUAGGCGAUUAAGCUUGUUACUUUCUCCGCCCAAUCUUUCGAGCAUUAUCUCCGCCAAGAUAAUUGUUUUCGAUGAUCGAGAGGCAAAAGUAACGUCGACUUUUUAUUAUUAGGUCAGUUCAUAAGUCUUCGGGUUCUUUUAACCGCGUAAUAAUCAUAUUAAUUUCUCGCACAAGCGACACGCGAUAUAUUUAUAUUGAUUCAUCGAUACCACUUUUAGUAAUAUUUACACGCAAAGAUUUAUGAAAUGACCCGACACGAUGUGUUCACACUUAUAGGAUUCUCGAACUUUUUUCGUUGUUCAGUCAUCUAGGUUCAGUCCUUACGAAAUGUCUCCCGUAUCUAUUAACAGCCGUGCUUUCUAGAUAAGUGGUAAUCAAGAGGCGCUUCGAUAUCGCAACGCGCAACAAUAAUCGAUCGAUCAAAAUCAAAAUACUCGUGCGUUCGGAACGAAGUUGUCAAAGUUCCCUCGACGUCAAAUAUCCCGCAAUUAAUCCAAUAUAUUCCCGUGUAUCGACUGUCGUAACAUCGAGCAUGCACGCACCAUCGAGAAUCAAAAUUCCUUUUAAAAUUAUUCCUUAGCUUUAACCGCUUGAUCUUUUCUCGAAGGGAGCAUUCGAAAUUCCCGCCUCUUUAGUCUCGAAAUGACGCGCGCGUUAUCCGCAAUGGGUAAAAUAGAUUUCCCUUCGAAGCAGUCGAUAAGUUCGUUAAUCAAUUUUGCAAAUAUUAUCGACGAUCGAUAUGUCGACAAAUCCUUAUGCGUUUAUAUGAAAUGAAAUUUUACGCUUAGAGAAUUGCGAUUAUUUUGUAUCGUUUAAUUUCGAAUCACGCGUAUUCGGAUAUCGAACUGUCUUUACUGUCGAGUGAUCGAUUCCAAGUGUACUGCCAAGAUUUAGUAAUAAUUCCCGAAACGAUAACCCCGUUAGGUGCUAAGCGCAAUAUUGUUAGUUGUAAUUUUCUGUGUCGUCGCAAACUUCGAUUUUCAUUUGCCCCAUUUUAUCCCUCUUUAACGCUUUGACUGCCACGUCCGCUUUCACUUAUUUCUAACAGAUAUUUAGUUCGUUCUGUUGUCUGUACUUUCAAGUACUUAGCUAGAUUACGUACAAUCGGGUGAGUAAGAAAGUUCCUGAUGAAAAAUAUGGACGACGAGUGGCAGUCAACGUGUUGACCCUUUCGCUGCGAACGACGUAUACUUACGUCCUCGAAAACUGAUCUAUAAAGGGCAUGUACGAAUGAUUAUCUGUCGAGACACCGAAUUUGUACGAAUUCACGAUAGGGCAGAAAUUCUUCCGCAGGAAACAUUCGAGUAAGCAGCGAGUCAAUUAUGUAUCGAGUCUCAGCGGUAGAUUUAAGACUAUAAAACUAUAGCGAAGGGAAUGUCGCAGUGAGAGGGUUAUGAAUAUGAUUGUGUAAAAAGAAAGACGAAGGAUCUCAUGCGUGGUGAUCGAUAAGGACUCGAGCGUUUUAUGUUUCGGUGUCUUGUUGACUAAUUUUCUUUUCAACCCUUUGACCACAAGUCAAAAAGUCUUGAAGUAAAUCUUACACUACUCUUUACUUUUACCUUUGGUACUUUGCGUUACUAUUUCGCGUGCUAUUUAUGUAGGCUCGAAGUAUUUCUCUCGUACAAAGUUUAUACUACUGCCUUUAUAUUUUUCGGAAAAUUGUUUAAAAGCUUUUAAUCAAAGGGUUAAAAUUACACUACCGAUUCUGAAGUCGACGAGACACCGAUCGUGUAGGAUCAUACCGUGUAUUCAUAUUUAUUGUGCCAAAGAUUGUAUGCGUUAUCUUUUUUCUCUAUCUCUUUUUAGGUAAGCAACAAUAUUUUUGAACAUUCGAAAUCUUUAAGAGGAAAAGAAACGCUGUUUCAUUUAAUAAUGACCGCAUUUCCUUCGCGUACGAGAUCUGGACACGUCGGUAACGAUGGCUACAGUCGGUAACUAGGGUGAUUGUUGGUCAGUCGGGCAACUGUCGGUAACUAUGGCUACGGUCGGUAACUAUGGUUACGGCCGGUAACUCGAGCAGUCGUCGGUAAGUCGGACGACUGUCGGUAACGGUGGCAUCAGUCGGUAACUAGAGCGGGCGUAGGUAAGUCGGGCGACUGUCGGUAACAGCGGCAACAGUCGGUAACUAGAGUGACCGUCGAUAAAUCGAUAAUCCUUUCUCGGUACGAGACUCGAGAAUUGUUACCGACGCGUCUGGAUCUCAACCUACAGGAGGGAGCAGAACCAGUGUCAUUUAUGUCUUCUUUUCGGUAACAUUUAUUUUAUCCCACAAGCACUUUUUAUUCACACGUACAAGUGUAAUUUUGUAUUAGUCGCUCAAAACAAUUGCGAUCAUGAGUUUCCAAACUAAAAUUUGCUGUUGAAACGAUCGGCCACCGUUUGAAAUGUUUCGAUCGACAUUUCUGUAACAAUAUAAGUUAAUUGUCCCACCGAUGCAGUUUUCGUGCAGAAAGUCAAACAAAGAGUUCGUUACGAGUGCGAAGCGUUAUCGGUAUCAUAACGAAAUAUCCAGAAUACGAAGACAAGGCCUAAGCGUUUUGGAAUAAUUCACUGGAGGAAAGUAAAAUUCGAUUCAGUCUUGGUUCGACGUCUCAGGAGAAUGGAAUUCUGCUCCGCCUUGUGUUCCUAUCACCCCUUCUACCGAUCGUUGCUUUUAACCACUUUGCUGAGAGGUGACAACACAUAGUCAGAUGUGAUCUUGGACGCUACGCUACUUCAGAUUCUCAACCUUCAAGUCAACCCAAUAAAUCUUCCAUAUUUAUACAGCAAUAAAACUAUGAAAUAUAUAAUUAUGUAUUAUUAGUGCAUAUGUAAGUUGUACGAACAAAGAACUUUAAAUAAAUAUGAAAUAAAAGGA